ACGGGUGAGUAAUGCCUAGGAAUCUGCCUGGUAGUGGGGGAUAACGUUCGGAAACGAACGCUAAUACCGCAUACGUCCUACGGGAGAAAGCAGGGGACCUUCGGGCCUUGCGCUAUCAGAUGAGCCUAGGUCGGAUUAGCUAGUUGGUGGGGUAAUGGCUCACCAAGGCGACGAUCCGUAACUGGUCUGAGAGGAUGAUCAGUCACACUGGAACUGAGACACGGUCCAGACUCCUACGGGAGGCAGCAGUGGGGAAUAUUGGACAAUGGGCGAAAGCCUGAUCCAGCCAUGCCGCGUGUGUGAAGAAGGUCUUCGGAUUGUAAAGCACUUUAAGUUGGGAGGAAGGGCCAUUACCUAAUACGUGAUGGUUUUGACGUUACCGACAGAAUAAGCACCGGCUAACUCUGUGCCAGCAGCCGCGGUAAUACAGAGGGUGCAAGCGUUAAUCGGAAUUACUGGGCGUAAAGCGCGCGUAGGUGGUUUGUUAAGUUGGAUGUGAAAUCCCCGGGCUCAACCUGGGAACUGCAUUCAAAACUGACUGACUAGAGUAUGGUAGAGGGUGGUGGAAUUUCCUGUGUAGCGGUG
rnacentral:rRNA from 3 species